rnacentral:rRNA from 1 species
AGUGAACGCUGGCGGUAGGCCUAACACAUGCAAGUCGAACGGCAGCACAGUAAGAGCUUGCUCUUACGGGUGGCGAGUGGCGGACGGGUGAGGAAUACAUCGGAAUCUACUUUUUCGUGGGGGAUAACGUAGGGAAACUUACGCUAAUACCGCAUACGACCUACGGGUGAAAGCAGGGGAUCUUCGGACCUUGCGCGAUUGAAUGAGCCGAUGUCGGAUUAGCUAGUUGGCGGGGUAAAGGCCCACCAAGGCGACGAUCCGUAGCUGGUCUGAGAGGAUGAUCAGCCACACUGGAAAUGAGACACGGUCCAGACUCCUACGGGAGGCAGCAGUGGGGAAUAUUGGACAAUGGGCGCAAGCCUGAUCCAGCCAUACCGCGUGAGUGAAGAAGGCCUUCGGGUUGUAAAACCCUUUUAUUGGGAAAGAAAAACAGCAGGUUAAAACCCCGCUGUCCUGACGGUACCUAAAGAAUAAGCAACGGCUAACUUCGUG